rnacentral:rRNA from 1 species
CCUACGGGUGGCAGCAGUCGAGAAUCAUUCACAAUGGGGGAAACCCUGAUGGUGCGACGCCGCGUGGGGGAAUGAAGGUCUUCGGAUUGUAAACCCCUGUCAUGUGGGAGCAAAUUAAAAAGAUAGUGCCACAAGAGGAAGAGACGGCUAACUCUGUGCCAGCAGCCGCGGUAAUACAGAGGGCUCAAGCGUUGUUCGGAAUCACUGGGCGUAAGGCGUGCGUAGGCUGUUUCGUAAGUCGUGGGUGAAAGGCGCGGGCUCAACCCGCGGACGGCACAUGAUACUGGGAGACUAGAGUAAUGGAGGGGGAACCGGAAUUCUCGGUGUAGGAGUGAAAUGCGUAGAUAUCGAGAGGAACACUCGUGGCGAAGGCGAGUUCCUGGACAUUAACUGACGCUGAGGCACGAAGGCCAGGGGAGCGAAAGGGAUUAGAUACCCUAGUAGUC